UACAGAGGUCUCAAGCGUUGUUCGGAUUUACUGGGCGUAAAGGGCGCGUAGGCGGUAGCACAAGUCAGUUGUGAAAUCUCCGGGCUUAACUCGGAAAGGUCAACUGAUACUGUGCGACUAGAGUGCAGAAGGGGCAACUGGAAUUCUCGGUGUAGCGGUGAAAUGCGUAGAUAUCGAGAGGAACACCUGCGGCGAAGGCGGGUUGCUGGGCUGACACUGACGCUGAGGCGCGAAAGCGUGGGGAGCGAACAGG
rnacentral:rRNA from 1 species